GCGUAACACCUAAUUUCCGUAAUUCAUUUUUUGUACAUCACAUUGAUAUUAGAAUUAUUCAAUGUUUCAAAAAUUAAGUGUAUUCUCCAGAACACAAAUCCUGUAACAUUAUCGCUACAACUCCGAAGAUACUCAAAAGACCCGCUCAUCUUUCCCCCGCGCAGAUUCAACGUGACAACAAUUAAUCACCACAGAUCUAGGGUAUUUUGACGCUGUUGGUACCGGAUUUACUUAAAUCCAGUCCAGCGCGAGAGAGAAACUUUUUUAGAGAGAGAAGCUGCACUCCUAGGCACACCAUGUAUACUCACAUCACGGUACUGGCCACUGAAAUAGAGAUAUACUGAAACACUUACUCCAUAUAGGCCCGUAUUCAUAGUCAGGUCUCAAGGCGGUGCUUAAGACCGUCUUGGUGAAGAUCGUCUUAUUCGUUCAAGACCGUCUUGAGAUGCUAUGUAUUCAUAGUCGGAAAACAAGACCGUCUUCGUCAAGAAUUUGGUCUCAAGCGCUAGCUUAUUUCAUUCAAGACCGUCUUGGCGAAGACUGAGCUUGAGACGGUCUUAUUCGACGUUCGGUUAUGUUCGGAAUAUUUCCGAUGUAUCCCCCAAUAAGAUGCUCGGAUUUUAUUUCUCAGCCUGUGCAAGAUAUUCGUAUAGGCAUGCAGCUCUUGAGUAUUUUUAUAGUUUAUGAACACAACAACGUUAGCGCCACGUAGAGGAACUAAAAAACGGGAACAAAUCGCGUACAAUUUUUUGUAGUGGGUGUAUAGCUAUAAAACGAAGAAGAAGAAAAAGAAUUUUAUAGUGAAUCCCGGUGCAGACUUGCAAAAAAAUGCGCGUGAAAGGGACAACCUUUGAUCUUCAAAGUUCAAAAGAGCAACUUUAGUUCUAUUUACUGGCUGUAUUUAUAAUGUAUUGAAUAUUUUUACGUAGACAAAUUUUCAUAAGUAUUAUCGUAACUAUAAGACUGACGCUUAGUACAAUUACGUACAUAUCAGUAUUUUCAUGAGUAAGUGAGGGGUUUAAAAAUAAAAUGAGAACCAAUGAUAA
rnacentral:lncRNA from 1 species